AAUGCAAUUUUUUUGAUAAAAGAAUACCAGCAUAUUAAUAUAUGUGCGCACGAGUAUACGGUAAAUAUGGCCGCACGUUCUCUUUAACAUCUGAUGUGUUUCUGAACCAAUCUUGGAGAAAUCUGGAGUAGAUUUUAAUGUACCAUAGAAUACUCGUAUAUUUGCAAAAAACAAGAGCCUUUACAUUGUUGCUGUACUUUUAAUUGGGAUUUCUAUUUAUUUAAUUUUUAUGGUGUGAAUGGUGAAGAUUUCGACAGAGAUUCAGAUAGGCUUGUCGUGCGAUCCUACCUUUAUCUGUGGCUGGCAGCGUAUGCAACCGCAGGCUUGAUUUUUUUUUUGAUUUGUGGCUGACUGGCUGUUGGUAUGCCAAUGUUCUCCUUAUCGCUGAGAAUUGGAGAACAUUAUUUUUAGCGAUGUGUGAGUGGCCUUGCCGUCUGCCUUGGGUAUAAGACAAACACAAGCGGUAGACACUAGCCAUUCUUCUAGGAUUUCUCCGGUAGGAAAAUGUUGCUCCUCACUGUUAGUCGUGGGGCACAAAGCUGAAGCUGAGCCCAAAUGUCUACUGAUUUAACUUGAGGCAUACAGGAGUGUUGUCGCCAACACUGAAAAUUAAAAAUAUAUCUAGGUUUUUUUUUUUUUGCCAGAUUAUCAUUGCGAAUAUUAACUCUCCCUGAGCUAUUAGUAACUUGUAGAGUCAUUUUCCAUAUAGUCCAGCAAAGUCUAUCAAAAGUGGUCUUACGAGCGCUGAAGCGUUAGUUGAACGCUUCACCUUAAUUCUGCCCUUAUUCCAGUCAGUGGCACUGUCUCAUUUUCGCGUUGGCAGCGCCCUUAAAGUUUUAGCAGGAUCGCAUUGCUCGAUUUUUGAAUAAAAAAGCGUAAGGCUGUAGCUUCGAAAAUGAGUUUGAAAUAAACAAAUUUUAAUAUACCUAUCUGUAUACUCUAUACGAGAACUUUAACACCAUGUUUAAUCAAUUUUAUGGAAACGUGGCAAUUUAUCGAUCCUUUAAAAUAAUCACGAUCAGCACUGGCUAUAGGCGAACCUAAGUUUGUAAUGUUAAGUCUCCAGCUCUUAUAGUCUAUGAGAUCGAUGUAUUCAUAUAUACGGACCUACAGACAGACUGGAAUGGUUAGAACGGCUCGGUAUUGGCCAAGAAUAAAUGUAUAUGAUAUUCCUUUUUCUACACAUUAUCUUACUUUUUUAUCCAAGGGUAUACAAAUACGCCAUCCAAUUCCUAACCAAUUCCUUGUACAAUUCACAGAAUAUACAUUUUCCAAGUAUACUGCAAGCACAAUAGCGGCAUCAAGUAUUGUCGCAGCAAUGAAUCGACUUAAAUGCCAUCUUUGUACGGGUGAUAACAUACACAUAUUCUUCAGCUUUUUCACGGAUUUAACAAGUGUGGGACAGGAACAACUGCAUCAGUGCAUGAUACAAAUGGAAGUCUUAUAUAGUGACCAAAACCAUGAAAUAAAACCAUAUUUUCUCGGCAUUGACAAACAGCAACCAUUUAAUGCAUAUUAUAAUGGCCCAUAUCCCCAAAGUGAUCAGCAUCAUCAGAAGCGUCCGUUAAUGUCCGUUUUGCCCAAGAUCGCUCAAACUUGUAAACUGCAGGCACAUGCGCAAAAGGAUUUACAUGAAAUAAAAUUUUGAAAAUUAUUUAUACGCUUUUGCUAUUGUAUUUUAAUAUAUGCCUCCCAUGCUUCGGAUUUUUUUCACAGGCUGUCACCUGGACUUAUCUGACUAUAAAUAUAUAUGAUUAACGUCUAUAUAUCGAUAGCCUUAUAAAGUGAACUGUAUAUAUUUUUGUAAGCUAACCUAUAACGUAAUAUAUAAUUUAUAACUAGUAUGGAAACAAAUAUCAUAUUCAGUAAUGGUUUUAAGUACACGUACAUUGGACGUGAGACUAUUCUUUUUUUU